UCUUACAGCAACUAACGCACAUAGAGAGAGACAGAGAGAGAGAGAGAGAGAGAGAAGAAAGAACAUGCAAACCCUGAAACAUGGCUUAUUUUUUCUCACUUUUGACCCUCCAAUUUUGCUUAUCACCUGUUCCUUCCUUUCGUCUUCCUUCCUGUGUUUGACUUUUCAUAAUAAUGUCAGAAGCAGAAGCAGAGCCUCCAGUCUUCUCAAACGUCCAAGCAGUUUUGGAUUUUCUACGCCAAAAUGGGCUAAAAGAAGCGGAGUCUGCUCUUAAAGAGGAUAUGAAUGAGAAAAACGAACUGGGUUUGUUUGAUUUCGAAAAAUUCUUGUUUGUCUUGCCUCCGGUGAGGAUUCCUGCGAGCCUCCGGCGAACGGAGGCCGAUGGUGGUGGUGAAGCGUCGAGAUCAAGUUCUGGGUCUGGCUCGGAUGAGGAGUUUGUUAGCUUGAAAUCUUCUACUAGUGAUUUGUGCUCUUCAGAAUUUACAAAUCCAUAUGGACUUCGUUCUGCAUCACAGGCUAAUUCAGAAACAUCAUCGGAUAGGUUGUCUCAGUUUGGCACAGCACGCGAUUAUCCUGGUCUUGAUUUGCAAAAUGACCUCUAUUGGUAUGAUGAGAGAGAUGAGGGCUACUUCAUGAGUCCAUCCUUCAAUGGGCAAGACUACUUCGGUGGUCCAAGUGAGGAUAAAUUUGUCAUGACAUCUGAGACAGUGAACCAAUCAGAAAAUCCAGUGAGUUUAUAUAAUAAAAGUGAAGGAUUUGGAACAGAAGCAACCAAUGAUUUCUUGGAUAAGCCUUGCCUUUUUAAUCUAACAUCUGUGAAGGAUGAGAAUGAAGCUCAAGCAAUGGAUUAUUAUCAUUUUGAUAAAAGGAACCAUCUUGAAGGAGACUUUGAGAGUAAUGGUUGUUCUGUUCCUCUUUGCAAAUGCUAUGCAGGAGCAGGGGAAAAUUGUUGCAGAGAUCAUAUUGAUCAAAUCUACUUGAGCUCCAAAGAAACUGAUUUAAGUGAUUUUCAGCUAAAAAUUGGAGACAUUCCCACUGAUUGUGAUAUAGCUCCUGGACAUGGAAAAAACAAGAAUGGUUACUACUCUUCAAAAGCACAUUCCAAGAGGGACUGGUUUGAAAGUUAUAAAAGCUCGACUGAAAUCAUAUCAAAUGGAUUUGAUGACUAUGAAGUUGGAAAUGGUAGAGAAGCAAAUGGAGAAGCUGAUGAGCUUAAGGCUGAAGCAGAUGAAGAAGGUGAAGUUAAUACGGAUGAGCUUCUGUUGUUCAAUAAUCAGGAAGAUGAAUGUGAAGUGUUCAAUCUGCGAAUCAUACACAGGAAAAACAGGACAGGAUUUGAGGAAAAUAAGGAUCUGCCCAUUGUGCUUAAUACUGUCAUUGCAGGCAGAUAUUAUGUCACAGAAUACCUAGGUUCGGCUGCUUUCAGUAAGGUUGUUCAAGCACAUGAUCUUCACACAGGAGUAGAUGUUUGCCUGAAGAUUAUUAAAAAUGAUAAAGAUUUUUUCGACCAGAGUUUAGAUGAAAUUAAACUUCUGAAGCUUGUGAACAAGCAUGAUCCAGCUGAUGAACACCACAUUCUGCGUCUUUAUGACUACUUCUAUCACCAGGAGCAUCUCGUCAUUGUUUGUGAACUCCUCCGUGCAAACUUAUAUGAAUUUCAGAAAUUUAAUCAAGAAUCAGGUGGUGAGCCAUAUUUCACAUUGAGCAGGCUGCAGGUUAUAACCCGGCAAUGUUUGGAGGCACUGGAAUACUUGCAUCACUUGGGAAUUAUUCAUUGCGAUCUCAAGCCUGAGAAUAUUCUGAUAAAGAGUUACAGGAGAUGUGAGAUAAAGGUUAUUGAUCUUGGAAGCAGUUGCUUUCAGUCAGACAACUUGUGCCUAUAUGUACAAUCUCGUUCCUACAGAGCCCCUGAAGUCAUUUUGGGUCUUCCAUAUGACCAAAAGAUUGAUUUAUGGUCUCUUGGCUGCAUUUUGGUGGAGCUAUGUUCUGGGGAAGUGCUGUUUCCAAAUGAUUCGGUUGUAAUGAUCCUUGCACGCAUGAUUGGGAUGCUGGGUCCUAUUGAUUUGGAGAUGUUGGUGAGGGGCCAGGAGACGCACAAGUACUUUACAAAAGAAUACGAUCUCUAUUAUACAAAUGAGGUUUGUCUGCCAUGUUUCCUUCAUUAUAAGAAACCAAAAACACUUGGACUGCCAUGCCAUAUAUUCUCAUUUUACCUUUACCAAAUCAGAAUGCUAAUCAUUUUGGGCCUGCUUUACAAAAGAAACUGUGAAAGCUGAAGUUGAAUCUUCGUUCGAAGUUCAACCUAAGUGAAACUUCAUUUAGACUCUUAAUUUGCUGCUAAGUUAAACUACACUAGAAAUUUUCACAGCAUAACUUAAGGUACAUAUAAGUACUUAAGUGGAGAGACUUCCCUUCAAGAUUAAUGAUUUUAAGCAAUUUCCUUAAUAUAUAACGGUUGAAAACAUGUUUUCUUUCAUUAGCAGGUACAGUGCAGUUCCUAAUGUGUAUUGGUUUUUAGUUAUUAGUUUUCUGUUUUGUGCUUUGAGAGGGUCAUGGCAUGGUGAGCCUCGGCUCACCAGUAAGGUUGUUUCUUUAUGAUAAAAAAUGUUACGUGUUUGUCAUAGAAACCUCCUCUCUGUAAAAAUGCAAGGGCAAGUGCUUAUGUGAUCCACACCUCAGUACUCAUAUAACUAGUUGUCCGUCCAGGAAACAAACCAAGCAGAAUACAUAAUCCCAGAGGAGUCCUCUUUGGAGCAUCAUCUUCAAACUUAUGAUGCUGGAUUCAUCGACUUCGUGAGAAGCUUGCUCGAGGUCAAUCCUUUGAGGCGUCCAACUGCAAGGGAGGCACUAGAGCACCCUUGGCUUUCGUAUUCAUAUGAAUCAAAUUCUUACUGAAUUUCUGGAGGAUUUACCACUCUUGUUGAUACGUUUAUGUUUUUUUAGAACCGUCUUGUGAGCCAAAAACUCUCAUGGAACACGAGACUGGAACACAGAUUUCCGAUAUCAGUUUUGGUUUGAUGUGCAAGCAACCACACCAGCUUAUUGAACUUGAGCACAGCAUUAUUGAUUUGUAAAAACAAAGGCACAAUAAUAAGAUGAUUAGUGCAUUUGGAUUCUUCAUACUUGGUGGUUCUUGACUUGGAUGAAACUCUAGUAUGUGCAUAUGAGACAUGUAGUUUGCCAGCUAUUCUACGUAAUCAAGCAACAGAAGCUGGACUGAAGUGGUUUGAACUGGAAUGCGUAUCUUCAGACAAG